UACAGAGACGGCAAGCGUUGUUCGGACUCAUUGGGCGUAAAGGGUCCGUAGGCGGUCGAGUAAGUCGGAUGUGAAAUCCCGCAGCCUAACUGCGGAAAGUCAUUCGAAACUGCCCGGCUCGAGGGCUGGAGAGGAGACUGGAAUUGUCGGUGUAGCGGUGAAACGCGUAGAGAUCGACAAGAACACCGGUGGCGAAGGCGGGUCUCUGGACAGUUCCUGACGCUGAGGGACGAAAGCUAGGGGAG
rnacentral:rRNA from 1 species